UCCUCAAACUCCCCUUCUCAGCCUGGCUCCAUAGAAUCAUGGCCCCAAGUGGCUUUCUGAUCUUCUCUUGUCAGGAGCCAUUUAGGACAUGAAGUUUGCUCUGUACAAGGAAGGAGAUAAGAAAUCUUUGAGAGUCCUGAUCCCAGCCAGAAUGGGCCUAAAGUUCUCUUGAUUUACAUGACCACCAACCACACUGAGAACCGCACAGUUGUUGCCAUCACUCUGGUCAUGAGAGAGCCUAGUGCCCCUUUGGCUUCUAAUGAAAGGGGAGAAGGGUAUUUCUGAAGGACAGUCAAUUCUGAGGGUGAACAUUCUUCCAUUUCCUCAAUAGAGCAGAAUCAACACCAAGGAUUUCACACAAAUGUUGUGGAUAUGGAGAAUUGGAGACACUAGACAGAUUUUCCUCUCUCCACUAUUCCAGGGUUAGAGGUUCCCUAGCCAUGAGUACUCACCUCUGGAGAGAUAUUUAUCCCUUUCUUAUGACCCAUUCUUUUUACAGGUAAGUUGGAUAUUUCAAAAGAUAAGCCUUAGGGGAGAAGUUAGAGCUCUCAGAGAAGGAAGGCCAUGUCUCCUCUGAUGUAUUCUACAGAAUUGAUAAUGGGUGGAAGUAUGGGAACAUGAAUAAGGAACCCCAUCAGAACAAUGAAACCUGAAAAUGGAUUUUCUCCCUAGACUCAGGAUCUAGAAGCGUUUCCAUUGCCCUCAGCUGUGUCAUCAUUCUCUCCCUCUUUCUAUUGGCCUUCUACCAUCGUUCCUAUAUUGCAUCCCUGGCUGAUGGUAUCUUCCUUACUGUAUUGGCCUUUCAUCAAUCACGGAAUACUCAAAGAAGAGACCAAGUGCACAGUCAUGACCAAGCAGAGACUGACCCAUCAACAUCAGGGGCUGAAGACCAUGAAACAGUGACAUACAGCCAGUUGAACAUAAAGACGCUGAGGAAGGGGCAGUCAACUGCCUCUGAGGAAGGCCAAAAUCAUGUCAUCUAUAGCACUGUAAGGUGCAAGCAGAGUCCCAUGGAUCAUUUGGAAAAGAUAAUGGCAUGAACCUCAUACAGAGGGCCUGGGAGACUAUGUGUAAGUUGGGCAAAUGGUCUGAGAGAGGUGCUACACAAGUUUGCCCCGUGUGGUGCACCCAGUGGAGAGGGCACAGCUGCCCCUCAACUUUCUCUCAUCUUACCAUCAUAUACCAUCUACAAAUACAUAUCUGUGAAGAACUUUUCUCUAAUUUAGCAACAACUUCAAAAUCAUUUAAAAAAGCCUUUAGAGUUACAAAAAUACAACAUGACUUUUAACAUCUGGUGUGUGAAUAGAUUAUGUACCCAUAAAGUAGGAUAUUGCUUUGUAAACUAGAUUUUUUGUUGUCCUUUCUUUC